rnacentral:lncRNA from 1 species
GGAGAGGACCAUUUCCCAAAGGAAAACCAGGAGGACGCUGUCAUCACGGAAGGAAGAGCAGAGAGAAAAGUGCUGGGUUCUCGGUGAUAAUUGUCUGAGCAGCUGGAACAAGCCUCACCUGAAGUCUACCCUGGGCUUUACAGGUUGGCCCACAGCAGGCGGUACAUGCUGGGCAAGUGGCGUGUAGUACGCCAGACUCCACAGAACCAUCCUAUCCCGUGUGGUGGGGUGAGUUGGCGCCUUUGUUACUUUUUCCAGCUGAAAAUUAUAUUCAGGAAAUGACAGAAGCUUAAAUAAGACAAGUGCAUUUGGAUCUCAGGUAAGUGCAGUCUGGGCUUAGGCAGGCCACAGGCAGGGAGGUGGCUCUGUGUCGCCAGGCUCCUUCUACCUUCCUGCUCCACCGUACUCAGAAGGUGGCAUCCAUCCUCAGGGUCCCAAGGCAGCUGCUGGGUCUCCAGCCAUCAUGUCCAGUGUCUAGAUAGAAAGAGGAAGGAGGCCGGGCGUGGUGGCUCACGCCUGUAAUCCAUGCACUUUGGGAGGCUGAGGUGGGCUGAUCACGAAGUAGGAGAUCGAGACCAUCCUGACUAACGUGGUGAAACCCUGUCUCUACUAAAAUACAAAAUAUUAGCCUGAUGUGGUGGUGCACGCCUGUAGUCCCAGCUACUGGGGAGGCUGAGGCAAGAGGAUUGCUUGAACCGGGGAGGCAGAGGUUGCAGUGAGCUGAGAUGGCACCACUGCACUCCAGCCUGGCAAGCAAAAAUACAAAAGAGCAGGCUUUCUCAAAAGGCCCACACAGACUUCCACGUAUAACUAAUUGGCCACCUCCAUAUGCAAGCCAAGCUGUGAUCUAACCCCCAUACAUACUGUCUUUCUAAGGCAAUGGCAUGUAAUUAGAAUUUAAUACUUUCAUUUUGUUUGUAUUUUUAUGAUUGCAUUUAAUUUAUGGCAAGUUAUUAGAAAAUUAAAGCCAGUAAUAUACAAAAAAAAAAUUACACACACACAAACAUCAUGACCAAACAGGGCUUGUUCCAAAAAUAAGAAGUCACUGGGCCAGGUGGCUCACACCUGUAAUCCCAGCACUUUAAGAGGCCAAGGUGGCGGAUCGCUUAAGCCCAGGAGUUCGAGACCAGCCUGGGCAACAUGGCUAGAUCCCCUCUCUACAAAAAAAUACAAAAGUUAGUCGGGCGUGGUGGUGCGCGCCUGUAGUCCCAGCUAUUCCAGAGGGAGAGGCGGGAGGAUUGCUCGAACUGGGAAGUUGAAGCUGCUGUGAGCCAAGAUUGUGCUUCUGUACUCCAGCCUGGGCCACAGAGCGAGACCUGGUCUCAAAAAAUAUAUAGGAAAAUAAAAAAUAGAUCGGAAGCGGUGGCUCACGCCUGUAAUCCCAGCAUUUUGGGAGACCAAGGCGGGUGGAUCACCUGAGGUCACGAGUUCGAGAUCAGCCUGACCAACAUGGUGAAAUCCCAUCUCUACUAAAAAUACAAAAAUUAGCCAGGCGUGGUGGCAGGCUCCUGUAAUCCCUACUACUACAGAGGCUGAGGCAUGAGAAUCGCUUGAACCUGGGAGGCAGAGGUUGCAGUGAGCCAAGACCAUGCCAUUGCAUUCCAGCUUGGGCAACAAGAGCGAAACUCUGUCAAAAAAGAAAAGAAAAGAGUGGAGGGGCUGGGCGCAGUGGCUCACACAGGUAAUCCCAGCACUUUGGGAGGCCGAGGCAGGCGGACCACAAGGUCAGGAGAUGGAGACCAUCCUGGCUAACACGGUGAAACCCCUGUCUCUACUAAAAAAUAUAAAAAAUUAGCUGGGCAUGGUGGCGGGCGCCUGUAGUCCCAGCUACUCGGGAGAAUUGCUUGAACUCGGGGCGGAGGUUGCAGUGAGCCGAGAUCGCGCCACUGCACUCGGACCUGGAGACAGAGUGAGACUCUGUCCCCUCCCCCCGCCCCCACAAAAAAGAGUGGAGGGAGGACGGUGGGGGAGAAGAGGUCCAGAAGAAGAAGGUCGG